rnacentral:rRNA from 1 species
UACGUAGGUGGCAAGCGUUGUUCGGAAUUAUUGGGCGUAAAGGGCGCGUAGGCGGUCGAUUAAGUCAGCUGUGAAAGCCCGGGGCUCAACCCCGGAGGGUCGGCUGAUACUGGUUGACUAGAGUACGGAAGAGGUAGCUGGAAUUCCCGGUGUAGCGGUGAAAUGCGUAGAUAUCGGAAGGAACAUCAGUGGCGAAAGCGACUUCCUGGACCAGUACCGACGUUCAGGCACGAAAGCGUGGGGAGCAAACAGG